CCCUCCAUCUUGAAAGAAAGGGGCCGGACCUAUGACGCUUCCUCGGUCUGUUGCAAAAACGUUUAGACUAGAACGGGUGCAACGGAGUUCAGUACAUAUUUGAUUGAUCGCUCCAUCAGUCCUAGACUGGUCCUUGAAAAGCGGGACAUCCUUGUAAAAGAGCGAGCGAAGUGUGCGGUACACACUUAAAAAAAAUCCCCAACCAAACUCUCCGCCUCCUUCUGAAAAAAAAUCUCCUCGCCUCCAAUUGACAAUGGCGGACUCUAUCAGUGCAAAGAGGGCAAAGAGAUCGAUCCACGAUGAUGUCUCCAACGACGACGACGCCGCCGCCGCAAGAGAAGCCUUCAAGAAUAUGGUACGGGUGAUGUCUUGUCCCCCAACCCAUUUCGAAAAGAUGGGUAAUAAUACCUCACACCUCACGUCUCAAUUUGUAUUUGAUUUUUUAGGGUUAUUUGCCAUGCGAUUAUGCAUUCUCUUAACUGUAGAACGACUCUACCCAGAGAAAAAGCGUAAAUUUAAGGAUUUUGUCGAACGCAGGGAAAAAUUGAAAGAGAUACAUGCUGACAUUGUCAAGGAGGAACACCUGUUUGUUGAGGAGAGAAAGAAAUGGGUGGCGGAUAACCGGAAUCUCUAUAGUGACAUGAAUCAGUUUUUUGUCGAAAGAUGUCAAUGGGAAACUGAGUUUAAGGAAAACCACUUAAAGCCUCUCUAUGAGAUGUAAUGUUGCUAAAGGAAUCCCUAUCUUUUACUGCAAUGAUUGCUAACAAGAUGGUUUCUAAGCAGAUUGCAGAGAAAGAUAAGGAGGCUCUGAACUUUCUGAAUGAUAUCGAGUCCCGUAGGACAGCAGAUUUGAAAGGAUUUGAGCUGGAGUUCACCUUUGACGAUCGUAAUCCUUAUUUUAAGAAUAAGGUGUUGACUAAAAAGUAUGAGGUGAAGGAUGACAACCAGUCUGUUUCAUUGAAGGCAUUAGGGACUAAAAUUGACUGGUAUCCUUCUCAAAACUUAACACAGGGUAAAAGCAGUGAAAGUUUCUUCAAGUUCUUUAAUUCAUAUGCUUCUCUCGAUCCUCUUUCUUUUGACAACGAAGCUGUAAGUUUGGAUUAGUUUAUGGUACCUCCUAGUUAAUGAUGAUUUUAGGCCUUUUUUUCUUAUCUUCUUAAUGGAUGCAACUUGUUAGGAUGAACUCAAAGGCGACAUUCCGACAGAUUAUGUAAUUGGGUAGGUGAAUAUUUUCUUUUGCAUUAGAUGUCUAAUCCUCACGGUAAAUCAAUAAAAUGACUUGAAUGAUUACUUUUUCGUUAGAUGCUUAAGCCCUGAAAAUUGUUUAAGGAUGAGAAUCUUUAUGAUGUAUAUAUUGCUGUUGUGAUUUGUAGUAUGAAGUUUCGAGACAAGAUCAUUCCGCAUGCUAUAUCAUGGUAUAAAUUUGCAGAGAAGGAUGAUAGUGAUUAUGAUGAUAGUGAUGGCAAAUGUGAGCGUUGCUCAAGGUGGUAGAUACGGAAGAGUCGUAGAGGCUUCUUGAGAGAGUCCUUCUCCUUCAUUUUUUGGCAUGCUGACAUAGGCAUAUGGCUACCUCUGCUUUUACUCUUAUUAUAUUUUGUUGGGUAAUACCAAGUGAUGUCUUAGGGUUAAGUAUUGAAGUCACUUGGUUCUUCUACUUUUGUAAAUCGAGUUUCACGAAUCAUUCAUGGAAUUACUUUAGUUGAUCUUGUGAUCAGGCCAUACUCUAGGGCUUGGGUUCAUGUUUAUCUUUUCAUUACCAAUUAUUUCAAUCAUGGCUUAAAGCUUAUGUUUUCAUGUUUAGCCCAA